UUUCCACUAGCUAGUCAAGAACCUCUGAUUUCGCAAAAUUGUGUGGAGUAUGUUAAAUCUCCUUUUGGCUUUUGUGUAAAACUGUGAGAAGAUUUAGCAAAAGAACAUAACAUUAAACAUUAACAUUUUUUUACUGGGUAAGAAACACGAAUACUACAUAACUAACACCUAUCACAGGUUAACCAGUUAAGCUGCACAUGUCUUCGCUUGAGCCACGUGGGCUACUCUCAAGUAUUUUCCCAAUUGAUAGGGCUCGACAUAUCUUGGAUCUUUUACCAAACUAGCUCCUUUUAAAAUUUUAUUUACCAAAAUGGCUAGUUGUAAAUUGUAUUUCCCAAAGUAGCUACUGUUUAGUUUCAAAAAAAAGUAGCUACUUUUUUACUUUCAAUUAAAAACCAAUGAACCGGUUUAAAUUUUUUACAUAGUGAACCGAUUUGAAUUUUUUUAAUAGUGGACCGAUUGACAAUUUACUUAUAUUUUUAGCCUCUUAGCAACCUCAAAGUUUUUAAAGGACUUGCUCGUAAAUAUUACAAAUAUAAAGAAAUUAGUUGAACCGUUGUUGCGGAUAUUGUUAAUCCGAUCUCUUAGAUACGCGAAUUCGUUGUGUUAAACGAAUUUGCUUGGCAAACUCAAUCAACCAAGAAUUUAACAUACUCUAAAAUCGUGUGCGUGGAAGUGACGUGAAGGAGAAGAGUAACGCGUGCAAUAAAGGCGUCUAACAGUGCAAAUUUUUGCGUCUAUUAUCCCUACAAGUCGGACCACUAUCUUACUAUAGCCAAUUGCAAUUUUUUAUUUUUUAAAUUACUGUAAUUCUCAUUAUUAAGUUGAAACUAUGAAUUUAAUAAAAAUUAAUUAAAAUAAUUAACGGAUUUUUCAUGAAAUGCCCCCGAGGUUUGCUUUAAUGCACCAAAUACCCCUAAACUUUCCAGAAUGCACCAAAUACCCCCGGAGUUUUAAUAAAUAACACAAAAUGCCCUUAAUGAGCAUUUUCCGUCAAUUCCAUUAAGUCUCCGUUAACAUUAAUUUUUUUUUCUUUUCUUUUCCUUUUCUUUUUUCUUUCUCUUCUCAGGAGUCUGCAAAUCAAUCCUCCAAAUUCCAUCAUCUCUGCUCCUUUCUAUCUCCCUCUGCCAAUCCUCCAAAUCCCAUCAUCUUUGCUCCUUUCUCUCUCCCGCUGCUGCUUCUUCCAAAUCAAUAUCCAUCGCCACCCACAACCACCGAGGAACCCUUCCUCUUCUCUUCUCCUCUUCUUUCUUAAACCCAGAAAAUCAACUUUUACAUCCCAGAAAAAUCAGCAAAAAUCAACGAUUAUAUCACCAAAACAUUCGUAACAAGAUCCAAAACAAACAAAGAAUUCAAAACCAACAAGAUCCCAGAAAAUUUCCAACAAAAAAUACUCCAAAUUAAUCGAUGGAAAUACUCCAAAACGCAGAUUUAUUCCAAAAAAAACAAAAAAUGUGUUCUCCCCCAAAUUGAUUUUCCCCAAAUCAAUUUUUAAACCUAAAUCGCAAAAUCGUUUUCCAUUGAUUUCCCCCUUGGUUAAAAUGGCUGGAGGAUCUACGAAUCCUCUAUACCUCCAUCAGAUGGAUCUCAUAUCAUCUCCAUCUCUAAACUCACAGGAGCUUCAGAUUAUCGAACAUGGCGUUGGUCGAUGGAAAUGACGCUUCCAUGGUGGUUUGAGAUGAGAAAGAUGAUGAUGAUGAUGAUGAUGAUGAUGAUGAUGAUGAUAUGAGAAAGAUGAUGGUGGUUUGUGAUGAGAAAGAUGAUGAUGAUGGCGCCGGUCGAUGGAAAUAACGCUUUGAUGGUGGUUUGAGAUGAGAUGAUGAUGAUGAGGAGAAAGAUGAUGAUGGUGGCGUGGUGAUAAACAAGCAAUUAACUUCACAUUUUUGGGUCAAUUUUUUUUAAUAGUUAAUUAGAUUUUUAGGGUCUUAAUUUUUUAGAUAAUAGUUAAUUAAUUUUUUAGGGAUUUAAUUAAGUGGUAAUAUUAUGAUUAGUAGGGAAAGUUGUUGAGUAAGGGUAAAAAAGUAAAUUCAUGCUAAUGGAGACUUAACGGAUUGGACGGAAAAUGCUCAUUAAGGGUAUUUUGUGUUAUUUAUUAAAACCUCGAGGGUAUUUGGUGCAUUCUGGAAAGUUUAGGGGUAUUUGGUGCAUUAAUGAAAACCCCAGGGGCAUUUCAUGAAAAAUCCGAAUAAUUAAUUAAUAAUUUACUUAUCAUUGGAGCAAGAAAUAUGUAGCAAUUGUGUAACUUGAGAAGAUAUUGUGUCAUAACAAGCAUGCAUAAUAAAAAAAAAAUACGACCAUUGGAGUUUAUGUUGUCAAAAAGUAAACGUAAUUAAAAAAUUAAAAUGGGUAAAAAAAAUGGACUUAAAAUAUUACUAUGCUGUAUCGUGUAUGUAUCAAAAUUAAACCAUCACGAGCAACAUUUUAUAUUAUUUAUGGGCAAAUUCAAAAGGAAAAUUAAUUCGGAGUAUAAAGUAGACAAAAAAAAAACUUAACCCCCAAAAAGUCGAUUAACUAUAUUAAAAAAUGCACCAAACGAAACUAGUUAAUUGUUUUUGCCACAAAAUGAAAAUAGUUAUUUUGGUAAAUAAAUUAUACGUAGUAGCUAGUUUUGAGAAAUAGAUUUUUAAAGUAGCUAUUUUGGUAAAUAAAAUUGUAAAAAUAGCUAGUUUGAUAAAAGAUCCACAUAUCUUUAAUUAUACUUCGUAAAGUCAAGUGACAAGGUGAGUUUCCCAUCAAUUUCACCCACUUAUGUUGGUCAAAGGGUCGAUACAUUUUUAACCCGUAUUUACCACUUCUAGGUUCCGACCAAAAAUGUUUAUAAUAUAGUACGUUUUAACACACCCUUCCAUUGGAUAUUGUACUUAAAAUUAAUUCGUCAAUAAAAAGGUCGUGCGGCUUCUACAAUAAAUCUCUACCCUUUAAAAUUUUGGAGAUCAGUUAUUGUUCCCUGUGAACAGUAACUUCCCAUAUACUAAUUAUUUAUUUUACUGUUUUUUAAUUAACUAGUUGUUGCACCGUGCGUUAUCGCGCACGGUCUCCCAAGUUAGUGUUAAAAGAAAACCGAAAUGCAAAGCGAAUCCCGAGCAGAAUUAGUAUAGGACAAUAGGUAGGCACAUGUAUGAUUGGAAACUAAAUGGACAAGAACAUUAAUAUAGAAGUAAAUAAGCAUUGAUAAUUAGUGAAUGUAGGUUACAAUCACAUCCCCAUAACAUAUUUUACAUGGGAUCCAAAAGGUGCAAUUGGGUAUUUCGUAGGAACAUAAAAGCAUAAGUGUUCUAUGUUCCUUGAAAAAACCCCGACCACACAAGAUAGGCAAAAUACUAAAGUGACCGACCAUAAGUCUUAACAUAUUUUACAUGGGUUCCAAAAGGUGCAAUUGGGUAUUUUGUAGGAACAUAAAAGCAUAAGUGUUUUAUGUUCCUUGAAAAAACCCGCACCACAAAAGAUAGGCUAAAUACUAAAGCCAUCGACUAUAAGCGAUUAUUGUUUGCAAGUGGUGCACAUGGUUGUGGAACUACUUAACUUUCACACAAACAUAAUAGUUCCCUAAAAGACCAUGUUUACAUACAAAAGGGAGGGCUGAAUGACCCGUUCAUGCAGUAGGCGUUGGCUCUAAAGCAUCUUCAGUAUGGUUGUGCUCCAAAUCAGUCUUAGCAUGGGUGUGUUCUAUAGUAUCCUCAGCAACAGCCUUAGCAACAUCUUCAACAACAUCUUCAGUAACAUCAGGCUCUUCCAAUGCCACUUGUUUAAGGCACCAUUGUAGAGCAUUGCUCUUGGAGAGGGCUGUUGUUGGGCCAACCUCAACCAAGACAUGUUUGGUACGCAGCAGCUCCUUUGCAGCCUCAAUAGCCGGGGCAUCAUUCUGAGCAUUAGAGGUUGCGUUAGUGUGUAUACAAAAGCUGCUGAAAUCCUAGCAUGUAAUUUGUGUGUUCUAUUGUGAGAGCAAUUAUAACAAAUUUGUUUUUAAUUUGUUUUUGCUCAUUUAAUAAAUCAGAUCACAUUUUUGAUUUCCUGUUCCAGCAUUUCAUUUCACUUCAAUGCAGGUAAAUGCUAGAGCCAGUUAUGGCUUCUGGCUAGAAGGAACCUUUCCUGAUUUACUUCAACACCUUCAUAAAUUGGACUCGGAGUUCAGGAAGAACGAUCCAUCGAACAGGAAGUAUAAACUACGGUUGAGGUACGAAGAAGAUCAUGGGAUGCCUUAGAGUGAGGAUGCAACCACCAAAUUCACGAUCGAUGUUUAGUAAAGAUAACUAUGUCUCACUAGUAAUAAUGGAUGCAUUAAUUAAACUCUAAGUUUAAUUACAAGAAUUGAGUUAGACUUUUAUAUUAAUAUUUAAUCAAUGAUAGAAGUAUUUCGUUAUUAAAGUUUAUUUAGUGAUUUAAAAAGGUUAUAUCGCCUUGUAUUUUCCACGAGGGAGAUACCGCAUGUGACGCUCCGACUAAGCUAGGGUUUUCCGCUGCUAACUAAAGAUAAUUAACCUAAUUAAUGGUGUUUAGAAGUCGGGGCGUUACAGUUUGGUAUUCAGAGCCAAGGUUCUGCGACCAUAAGUGCUAAACUUUACGGGUUUUGCACGAAAUAAAAUUUACUAGGUUUUAAGCAAGAAUUUUAAGGAAUGAGUAAAAAGAAUAAGUUAAAAUCAUGCUAAGUUAAAAUGAAAUGAGUGUGAGUGAUAGGACGGGGAACGCAACGGGAAUGUUUUCUUUAUUAUGAUUUGCAGAAUUUCUUAGUCUAAUUUCAAGAAGAAAAGAUUAUCUGAAGUGUUGUAUCCUUGCGAUCAGAUCGGCGAUGACUUCAAGCGGAAAUAUUCCUAUUGACGGCACUAGAAACGAUAACGAUGUUAACGAUGGAAAUGGUAAUCACAAAUCUGUAUUAGCGCUGGGAGGAAUGCAAGAAAGAAUUGAAGAAUUGCGCAAGGAUCCCAUUUUCGGGGACACUCCAGGAGAAACAAGCGAUAAUCGAAUGGAUUUAAUGAGAUUGAUAAUGUCGGAACUUCUGCAAGGAAAUCGUCAAAAGCCAAGGUCAGAGCAAGAAGAAUGCUCCAACAUGUUCAAGAAGUUCGCUUCUCAUAAACCCCCUACCUAUGAUGGCAAGCCAGACCCUACUGAAUUUGAGGAAUGGAUUAGCGAUAUGGAGAAGUUAUUUGAUGCAACUCAAUGCCCCGAGAAAUGGAAGGUCAACUAUGCUGUCUUUUACUUGAAAGGACAAGCCAACCUGUGGUGGAAAAGUGUUAAAGGAAUCCAAAAUGAGCCUGGUUUUGGUUGGGAAAAACUGACGGAAGCUAUGCGGGAACAAUUUUAUCCCUAUUCUCUGCAACUGCAAAUGGAAUCGGAAUUUAUCAAAUUGAGUCAAGGAAAGAGGAAUGUUCUGGAAUAUGCAGUGAAAUUCAAUGAGCUUGCUCGAUUUGCCCCUGACCUGGUGACUACUGAUAGGCAAAGGAUGAAUCGAUUUGAAGGAGGAUUAAGCAUUGAGAUCCGUGAUCGUCUUUCGAGUUCUAGAAUUUCCACUUUCCAAGAGUUGUACGAUCGAGCAAUUAACGUCGAAAGAAUUAUCAAGCUUCGAGAAGAAACAUAUGGAAAACGAAAAGGGAGCUUCGAAGAAAAUCAGCCGAACAAUAAGAAACAAAAUGUCAAUGUCAGCUAUCAAGGAGGGAAUAACGGAAACCAAAGCUUCAACAAGAAUCGUGGAUGCGCCAAGUGUGGAAGAUGGAACCAUACUGAGAAAGAAUGUCGAAUUGGUACGCGAGAUUGCUUCAAAUGUGGUAGCAAAGAUCACCAAAUCAGAGAUUGUCCUCAAAUACAUCGAGAGCAAGGUGAUAGGAGAAACGAUGAAAACAAAGGAAAUGGUGGCACUACAAAUUUCAACCGUAAUCCCCCACGUGGAGCAACUUCGAAUGGAAGAGUGUUUUUAAUGCAAGGAAAAGACGAUGACGCAAAUGACAAUGACGACUUCGCUACUAUGGAGUAAAGAAUGAAUGAUCUUUUGAAAACGCGUGAUCGAACAUCUAGAAGAAAUAGUCUAAACUAAAUGAUGGAAAUUUUGAAAGUAAUAUGCGUUAAUCAAGUAUCAAACUAAGAUGUAUUACCAUCAUUAGUUAUAUGAAUGUUAUGCUUAUGUAUGAAAUUUUCAAUUAAAGAAUUAUGUGUUUAAGAUAUGCUUUAUGAAUUAUGUUUAUGCUGACAUGAUUGUAUUGGUAAUAACUGAUCGUUACGUAUGAAAGUCGUCUUCGAUGGAGGUUCUCCUGAGCUCAGAGUAUGAGAUUGUUAUAAUAAAUGACUUUUACGAAUUAUUUGAGUAUUGCAAUUGUUAGAUAAAUAUUUAUUCUCAUUUUCAAAGUCAUAAAUUUUGCAUUAAAUAUUACUAUUUUUGGUAAGAAAAAUAUUUUCAAACAAGAUAUCACAAAGUAAAAUGGGAGCCUAGUCUAAGCUAACAAGUUUGCCCCUUUUAUGUUCUUUGCUCCUCGAUCCUAUUUUAUGAAGUAAAGUGGAGGUACGAAAGAUGCUGGCAGAAUGUAAUUGACCUUAAUGACGAUUAAGGGUCGAUAUAUAAUUUUGCCCCUUUUGUAUUCUUUACUCUUCGAUUCUAGGUCUUGAGUUGAAGCGGAGUCAUUAAAGAAGAUGGCGGAAUGUAGGCUAGACAAUGUCGGAAUUGGAAUGAAAUUGUGAGAUCUUGGUUUUAAAUAAAAUAUCGUACUUUUAUUCAAAUAUUUUCAACUUUCAACGAUCAAUUCAAGUUUCGAGGACGAAACUUUUUCUAAGGGGGUAGGAAUGUAAUACCCCGAAACUUUUAAACUCGUUUAUUAAAAAUUAAUAAUAUUUUAUUAACGUAAUUUCGUUUCAAUUAUUAGAAAUAAUUUAAAAAUUUCGUUAUUUUAAACGUUUUUACGGUUUAUUUUAAAUGAUAAAUUUAUAAACGAAAAUUUAUUUAUUUUUCGUUAACGAUAUAUUUUACGAGACUUUGUUUUAAUUAAACAUUUAUAUAUUUAGUAAUUUCCUAAAAUAGCAAUUAAAAUUCAGAAAUUUGGCCUAACUACUUGAAAUUACUAAAAUGCCCCUAAAGGACAAAAUUUUCAAUUUGCUUCUUCCUCCCUUGCCUUCCACGUACAUGGAAGAAGGAAGACAUUCUUUCCUUCCUCUCUUCCCUUAUUCCAGUCUACAUUCAUUUCCUUGGAGCCCAAGAACUUUUAUUCUUCUAGAAAUCCACCUAAUUACAAAUUGAAUCAAUUUCAGAAUUAUUUCAAUGCAAAAAUCAAAUUAACAAAAUCUGAAAAUUCCUCCCUUGUUCCUCCUUAUUCGAACCACCACAACCGGCAGCCAUCUGCCACCACCUUAACCACCACUGCAGACCACCAACUACCCAGACCCGACCACCCACUUCGCCGGCCGACCACCUACUCCCACCAUACCUCCCUUCGCUCUCCCUCCUCCUUUGAAAUACUCCCUGCCUUCCUUCCCUCUCCUCUUCGUGGCACCACCAAAGCAACACCACCACUUCGUCCGUCACCAAUCACCAACCCACGAACCACCAGCCACCGCGUCGACCGCCCAGAACCGCCCCAAGUCACCACCACCACUUCCCCUGUUUCCUCCCUGUUUCGCACACCUCUGUCUCCCUCUUUCUUCGUCGCUGCUGCACCCCCCCAGGCCACCGUACCACCUUUUAUAACCACCUCAAUCCCCGGCGAUAGGCCGCUGCGCCGCCCCGGGUUCGACCCAGAAACACCCCUCCCGUGCUUUUUCUCUGUUUCGUUCGAACACCCCUUUCCUUUUCCUUGCAGCUCCGCCGCCGCGAAGCCACCACCCCCGCUGUCGCCUCUCAGCCGUGGUUCCGCAGUGCGCCGCCCAGCCGCCACCCCUGUCUCCCUUCUUCCUCCACUGCUCCUCCUUCGAGCCCUCCCCUCCCCUGCUCCCGUGUUUCCUUUUCCAGAAAAAGAAGACAAGUUCCAUUUAGGAACUUUGUUUUAUUUAUUUCUCAAGCCAAGCCCAAAUCACUUAGCCCAAUUUUCCCAAUAAAUUGGACUCGGAGUUCAGGAAGAACGAUCCAUCGAACAGGAAGUAUAAACUACGGUUGAGGUACGAAGAAGAUCAUGGGAUGCCUUAGAGUGAGGAUGCAACCACCAAAUUCACGAUCGAUGUUUAGUAAAGAUAACUAUGUCUCACUAGUAAUAAUGGAUGCAUUAAUUAAACUCUAAGUUUAAUUACAAGAAUUGAGUUAUACUUUUAUAUUAAUAUUUAAUCAAUGAUAGAAGUAUUUCGUUAUUAAA